AGUGCUCCUGCUGACCUUCCGUGUCUGCAGCCCGGCUUUGGACUGUGGAGAUGCCCUCAGCCUCUACUCAGUGGCUCCAGCCUCAUAUUUGCGUGCUAUACCUUUAACCUCAAGUCCUCUUGCUGCUAACUUAAGCUGCGACUGUCCAGGACCUGCACACACACACACAUGCACGCAUGCACACACACACACACAGAAGGUGAACACACAGGAUGAGGCCCUGAAAACUCAUUUCACCCGUGUACCUCACCCAAAAAUUCCCCUUUGUACUCCUAUCUUUAUCUCUAACUGACAGCAUGAAGGUAGCCCGAAGUCCCCUCACCCUGUCUGUCCUCCUGAUUCUCUAGCCCAGUUCCCUCUAGCUCCAGCACAGACUCUUAUCUCCAGCCCUGACUGCCGAAACCCUCCAGCCCCAGCUCCAGCCCCUCAGGAGGGGACUGCGUGGGAGGAAUGACUCCAGCAAGCCGGCAGCUGACCCGUCUCCUGCCUGCACGCCUCCCGCUGUGGUCCACUGCCGGUGGUCUUCAGCUCUCUCCUCGUCCCACCCCCAUGGUCUGCUGACAGCCCAGCUCAGUGCAUCCCUGCCAUCUCUGCUCUACCGCUGGUCCUCCCAACAACCAACUUACAGGUUUGGGGGCACACGUGAAGGUUUGACAUAUAGUAAACACAUGUCAUGGUGGUUUGUUGUACAGAUUAUUACAUCACCCAGGGUUUCACUCCCGUCACCCAGACUGGAGUACAAUGGUGCGAUCUCAGCUCACUGCAACCUCUGCCUCCUGGGCUUAAGCGAUUCUCCUGCCUUGGCCUCCCAAGUAGCUGGGAUUACAGGUGCCUGCCACCACUCCUGGCUAAUUUUUGUAUUUUUUGUAAAGGCGGAGUUUCUCCAUGUUGCCCAGGCUAGUCUCAAACUCCUGAGCUCAAGCAAUCCACCCGCCUCGGCCUCCCAAAUAAGUGGAAUUAUAGGUGUGAGCCACCACGCCGGCCCUGAUGUAUCAAUAUUAAAACAUUUUCUUCAGCCUA
rnacentral:lncRNA from 1 species